rnacentral:tRNA from 1 species
AGGUUGUGGUUCAGUGGUAGAGCACUUGCCUCACAUGUAUGAGGCACUGGGUUUGAUCCUCAGAACUACCUA